CGGAGCGAAAUUGAAAUGGGAGUGCCUUGAAAGCGCCCGGUUCGUUUGAAAAUAUCGGUUGCGGAGAAGAUGGAAGAUGCUGGAUUUUGUUAAUUUCGAUUCAUCAUAAGUGUGGCACGAUUGAUGGGAGUUGUUCAUUUUUAAUGUCACAUUGCCGAGGGAAGGCUGCCUGAUGCGAAUAGAAAAGAACAUGGCAUUGACUUCGGGCGACAUCUAUACUAUUCCUCACGAGACUGCCGACCAGCGCCAUCUAGCCAGGAAAACAAGAGAAGAGACUGAGAGCCACGAAUGCGGACUUCUGACCAAGACGACCCUUUAUAACAUUUAAUCCAGCUAAUCAACGAACGCCGAGUUUUCGUAAUACUCUAUGGUUGAUUUAUGUAACUAUGGCCGACAUAAGAUAGCUGCCGUCCAGUCGCGAGGCAGCGCUGCGCCAGUGCUCACGAUCGCGUCGUACCCUGAUGGAUCCGUGUUUCAAUCAUUGCUUCUUUGCGUUGCUUCUGCUGGUAUAUAUUGCGAAUAAUAAUAUAUACUGAGACACGAA